UGGGGAAUAUUGCACAAUGGGCGCAAGCCUGAUGCAGCCAUGCCGCGUGUAUGAAGAAGGCCUUCGGGUUGUAAAGUACUUUCAGCGGGGAGGAAGGGAGUAAAGUUAAUACCUUUGCUCAUUGACGUUACCCGCAGAAGAAGCACCGGCUAACUCCGUGCCAGCAGCCGCGGUAAUACGGAGGGUGCAAGCGUUAAUCGGAAUUACUGGGCGUAAAGCGCACGCAGGCGGUUUGUUAAGUCAGAUGUGAAAUCCCCGGGCUCAACCUGGGAACUGCAUCUGAUACUGGCAAGCUUGAGUCUCGUAGAGAGGGGUAGAAUUCCAGGUGUAGCGGUGAAAUGCGUAGAGAUCUGGAGGAAUACCGGUGGCGAAGGCGGCCCCCUGGACGAAGACUGACGCUCAAGUGCGAAAGCGUAGGGAGCAAACAGG
rnacentral:rRNA from 1 species